GUGAGGUAAUGGCUCACCAAGGCUAAGACGGGUAGCCGACCUGAGAGGGUCUUCGGCCGCACUGGGACUGAGACACUGCCCAGACUCCUACGGGAGGCAGCAGAGGAGAAUCAUUCGCAAUGGGCGCAAGCCUGACGGUGCGACGCCGCGUGAGGGAUGAAGGCUUUAGGGUUGUAAACCUCUGUCAGGAGUUAAGAAUGCCGGUGGUGUUAACACCACCACCGAGUGACUAUCUCCAAAGGAAGCUCCGGCUAACUACGUGCCAGCAGCCGCGGUAAUACGUAGGGAGCAAGCGUUACUCGGAAUCACUGGGCAUAAAGGGCGUGUAGGCGGGUGCGUUAGUCCGAUGUGAAAGCCCUCGGCUCAACCGGGGAAUGCCAUUGGAUACUGCGUACCUGGAGUGCGGGAGGGGAGAGUGGAACUCUUGGUGGAGCGGUGAAAUGCGUAGAUAUCAAGGGGAACGCCGGUGGCGAAAGCGACUCUCUGGCCCGCAACUGACGCUGAGGCGCGAAAGCCAGGGUAGCGAACGGGAUUAGAUACCCCGGUAGUCCUGGCCCUAAACGAUGGGCACUAAGUAGAGGAGGCUCCGAUGUCGUCUCUGCUGUAGCUAACGUGAUAAGUG
rnacentral:rRNA from 1 species